CACCAAGGCAACGAUGCGUAGCCGACCUGAGAGGGUGAUCGGCCACACUGGGACUGAGACACGGCCCAGACUCCUACGGGAGGCAGCAGUAGGGAAUCUUCCGCAAUGGACGAAAGUCUGACGGAGCAACGCCGCGUGAGUGAUGAAGGUUUUCGGAUCGUAAAACUCUGUUGUUAGGGAAGAACAAGUACCGUUCGAAUAGGGCGGUACCUUGACGGUACCUAACCAGAAAGCCACGGCUAACUACGUGCCAGCAGCCGCGGUAAUACGUAGGUGGCAAGCGUUGUCCGGAAUUAUUGGGCGUAAAGCGCGCGCAGGCGGUUUCUUAAGUCUGAUGUGAAAGCCCCCGGCUCAACCGGGGAGGGUCAUUGGAAACUGGGGAACUUGAGUGCAGAAGAGGAGAGUGGAAUUCCACGUGUAGCGGUGAAAUGCGUAGAGAUGUGGAGGAACACCAGUGGCGAAGGCGACUCUCUGGUCUGUAACUGACGCUGAGGCGCGAAAGCGUGGGGAGCGAACAGGAUUAGAUACCCUGC
rnacentral:rRNA from 1 species